AAAGCUAAUAAAUUUAGAGAUUGAGAAUAAAGAUUAUUGAAUAUCAAUAAUAGGAUCAAGAAUAAAACUGUAUAUUAUCUACAAAAUUACUAUCAGGCAGGAAACAGAUCAUUGUACAAAAGAAACGAUGAAAAAAAGAUCAGAAAUGAUCUGCUAUUGCCAUUUUAGCAAACCACUCUCAGCCCAAAAUGCAAUAAUUGUGAAGAACACGUGAUGGUUGCUGCAGUCCUCCUCCAUUCGAAUCUUCUUAUACCAAAUUAGAAAACUUCCAUUUCCAUAUCGACCCCUCUGAUCAUGAAGUAGCAGCGACAUAUUUAUUUACCAAGAAAUACGAUCCGAGAGCCAAGCGUACUGGGAGAAGAAACAACACCGUCUUGGGCAGAAACAACUUCAAGAUUUAGCUGAGAAUUAUCGUUAUUAUGAUGAUGAUAGAGAUGAUGAUGAGACACCUCUUCAAAGAUGGUCUCUAGCUUUGGAUUACUUGAAGAUUUCCUGUGGGAAAUGAGAAGGGUUGGUGCUACUUCACCAAAGUUAUGCACGUACCUCAUGCCCUUCACCAUUUCUUGCAAAACGAUGAGGUUAUUGGGUGAAGGGUAUCGGAGGUUUUUGGAAAUGGAGUUUUGAGAGAGAAGAAUUGCAUAUGCGGGCGUCGAGGGAUGGGACUGAGCCUUUGCUUAUAAAGGAG
rnacentral:misc_RNA from 1 species